CUCCGUUCUAAGACAGCAGGCAGUAGGCCAGCCCUUCAUGUUUUUAAACAGUCAGUCCUGCUUUUCUAAGGGACUGAAAUGCUUUGGUCUAACUAAAGUCUUGGGGUAUCUGGGUGGAAAUGAACAGCCUGUGACAUAGAGAAGAGUGUCCGCCAAGAGGGCCGUGGAAAUGCCCUAGAAGAACAAGAGGAGAGGUGUUUGAAGCUACUGUGCAAAAAUCUCUGACCCAAGGGGAGCCUUUUGGCCAUGGGACCUGAACACACUAAGAAGAGCUUGUUGCACGGGCAGAGAGACAAGGCCUGAAGCUUGAGCAGAAGAGGAGGGUCUUGGGACCCUCAAAGGACUGAUCAAAACCCACAGGGUUCUCAGUGCUGGGAGGACAUUACGGGGAGGGGUUUGAAUGCAGAUGUUUGAAUAUAGCUG